UACGUAGGGUGCAAGCGUUGUCCGGAAUUAUUGGGCGUAAAGAGCUCGUAGGCGGUCUGUCGCGUCGGCUGUGAAAACUCGGGGCUCAACCCCGAGCCUGCAGUCGAUACGGGCAGACUAGAGUGCUGUAGGGGAGACUGGAAUUUCUGGUGUAGCGGUGAAAUGCGCAGAUAUCAGGAGGAACACCGGUGGCGAAGGCGGGUCCCUGGGCAGUAACUGACGCUGAGGAGCGAAAGCGUGGGGAGCGAACAGG
rnacentral:rRNA from 1 species